UAGAGCCUUUAAUAAGAAGGUGAACCCAAGAAAGAUCAAAGAGUGAGACAUAGUUUUGAAACAAGCUUAGCCCGUCUCUUUUGAUUUAAGAGGAAAGUUUAACCCAAGCUAGGAUGGUCCAUACAUAGUCAAAAGGAUCUUGUUACGGUAAGAAUAUCAGACUUAGAUGAGAAUGAAUUUCAAGAACAAGUCAAUUUAGACAGGCUCAAAUG
rnacentral:misc_RNA from 1 species